rnacentral:rRNA from 1 species
UACGGGGGGGGUAAGCGUUGUUCGGAAUUACUGGGCGUAAAGGGCUCGUAGGCGGCCAACUAAGUCGGACGUGAAAUCCCUCAGCUUAACUGGGGAACUGCGUCCGAUACUGGAUGGCUUGGAUUUGGGAGAGGGAUGCGGAAUUCCAGGUGUAGCGGUGAAAUGCGUAGAGAUCCGGAGGAACACCAGUGGCGAAGGCGACACGCUGGGCCGUACCUGACGCUAAAGCGCGACAGCAUGGGGAGCAAACGGG